GUAUGAGUGCCAAUGUGGUUUGAGCAUUAGACUACAACUCUAGAGACCAGGGUUCAAUUCCCCACUCAGCUG